GUGCAAGGAUAGGAUCUCGCCGUUGUUCUGCAAGGUCAAGUGUGCUGGUCGCUGCCCCGACGCCAUUGAUCGCCUUGCCUCCUGCUUGAUCGCCUGCGACAUGGACUCCAUCUGUGACCAGCCAGGGCCGUCAGUCGAUGUUGAGGUUUGCAGGAAUGUCUGCCACGAUAUGUGGGUGGCGGGUGGCGCCAACUAACCUUGAAGGGCUGCGAGCAGGUCGGUCAUGGGAUCAUAAAAAUAUGAUGUCGAACAGCUGUGGUUGCUGCAUCAGUCAAUAAAAUGUGCUUCGCUUUGGUGCA